rnacentral:tRNA from 1 species
GGUGAGGUGGCCGAGUGGUUGAAGGCGCAUGCCUGGAAAGUAUGUAUAUGGAAACAUAUCAGGGGUUCAAAUCCCCUUCUCACCG